rnacentral:rRNA from 1 species
CGCGUAGGCGGUCUGCCAAGUCAGGGGUGAAAGCCUCCAGCUUAACUGGAGAAGUGCCUUUGAUACUGGCGGACUCGAGUGAGGUAGGGGUAGUGGGAACUUCCGGUGGAGCGGUGAAAUGCGUUGAUAUCGGAAGGAACGCCGGUGGCGAAAGCGCACUACUGGACCUCUUCUGACGCUGAGGCGCGAAAGCCAGGGGAGCAAACGGGAUUAGAUACCCCGGUAGUCCUGGCCCUAAACGAUGGGUACUAGGUAGUGGACUAACAUGGGUUCACUGCCGAAGCAAAAGUGAUAAGUACCCCGCCUGGGGAGUAUGGUCGCAAGGCUGAA